ACUCCUACGGGAGGCAGCAGUAGGGAAUCUUCCGCAAUGGACGAAAGUCUGACGGAGCAACGCCGCGUGAGUGAUGAAGGUUUUCGGAUCGUAAAGCUCUGUUGUUAGGGAAGAACAAGUACCGUUCGAAUAGGGCGGUACCUUGACGGUACCUAACCAGAAAGCCACGGCUAACUACGUGCCAGCAGCCGCGGUAAUACGUAGGUGGCAAGCGUUGUCCGGAAUUAUUGGGCGUAAAGGGCUCGCAGGCGGUUUCUUAAGUCUGAUGUGAAAGCCCCCGGCUCAACCGGGGAGGGUCAUUGGAAACUGGGGAACUUGAGUGCAGAAGAGGAGAGUGGAAUUCCACGUGUAGCGGUGAAAUGCGUAGAGAUGUGGAGGAACACCAGUGGCGAAGGCGACUCUCUGGUCUGUAACUGACGCUGAGGAGCGAAAGCGUGGGGAGCGAACAGGAUUAGAUACCCUGGUAGUCCACGCCGUAAACGAUGAGUGCUAAGUGUUAGGGGGUUUCCGCCCCUUAGUGCUGCAGCUAACGCAUUAAGCACUCCGCCUGGGGAGUACGGUCGCAAGACUGAAACUCAAAGGAAUUGACGG
rnacentral:rRNA from 1 species